AUACCGCUGCGAGGACUUUUUUUGAUCAAGUCCUUGAACCUCUCCCAAGCAUCAUACAAAGAUUCUCCCUCAAGUUGAGAGAAGUUAUUGAUCUCCCCUCUCAGUUU